UCCCUGGCAGUCCAGUGGUUAGGACCCUGUACUUUUACUGCCGAGGACCCAGGUUCAAUCCCUGGUCAGGGAA